GCGGGACGGCGUUCGGGGAGGUCCUUGGAACCGUCCCUGGAGCCGGAGCUGUCGUGUCCCCUCCUCUUUCACUGCCCGUUGCAAACAAUAAAGGCAGUUCCUACCCUAGUAGGCUCCUGCGGGAGUGCGGGCGAC